CUCGUUCUAAUAUGUUUAUCUGAAAGUAUGAUUUAAUUUGGAGAAGAUUGCAUCAUACAAGUCUCACCCUAUCCGCAUCACCAAUUCCAUGAUGAAAUUUUUCUCUUGGGUUGGUUGAUGCUACUGUGAUCCCCAUGGAGGCAUCAAUGAUUAAUUGUGAAGGAUAGGCAAUCAUGAAGAACUUUUAGAGUUAUGGCCAUCAGAAAGAGCUAAACAAUUUUGGAAAUGGGGAAUGAAAGAGCAUUCUGGUUGAUACUUCCUAAUACUUAGUUUAUUCAGUUGGUGGCUGGAUGGUUCAGUUCCUGCUAGCGAUCUAGAAUUGUUUUUCUUCCUCAUAUAAGUGAUUGGUUGGAGUACAAAAGAAGUAAUGCUCUGCCGAACCGGUGG